GAUGAACGCUGGCGGCGUGCCUAAUACAUGCAAGUCGAGCGAACGGACGAGAAGCUUGCUUCUCUGAUGUUAGCGGCGGACGGGUGAGUAACACGUGGAUAACCUACCUAUAAGACUGGGAUAACUUCGGGAAACCGGAGCUAAUACCGGAUGAUAUUUUGAACCGCAUGGUUCAAAAGUGAAAGACGGUCUUGCUGUCACUUAUAGAUGGAUCCGCGCUGCAUUAGCUAGUUGGUAAGGUAACGGCUUACCAAGGCAACGAUGCAUAGCCGACCUGAGAGGGUGAUCGGCCACACUGGAACUGAGACACGGUCCAGACUCCCACGGGAGGCAGCAGUAGGGAAUCUUCCGCAAUGGUCGAAAGCCUGACGGAGCAACGCCGCGUGAGUGAUGAAGGUCUUCGGAUCGUAAAACUCUGUUAUUAGGGAAGAACAUAUGUGUAAGUAACUGUGCACAUCUUGACGGUACCUAAUCAGAAAGCCACGGCUAACUACGUG
rnacentral:rRNA from 1 species